AUACUUCAGCAGCACCUAUCCUAAAAUUGGAAAGAACCCGAGAAGGUUAGCAUGGCCCUUGUGUAAAAAUGUCAGUGUUGGUGAAGAUGAGGAGCAACUGGAA
ensembl:snRNA U6 U6 spliceosomal RNA